GAUGAACGCUGGCGGCGUGCCUAAUACAUGCAAGUCGAGCGAACGGACGAGAAGCUUGCUUUUCUGAUGUUAGCGGCGGACGGGUGAGUAACACGUGGAUAACCUACCUAUAAGACUGGGAUAACUUCGGGAAACCGGAGCUAAUACCGGAUAAUAUUUUGAACCGCAUGGUUCAAAAGUGAAAGACGGUCUUGCUGUCCCUUAUAGAUGGAUCCGCGCUGCAUUAGCUAGUUGGUAAGGUAACGGCUUACCAAGGCAACGAUGCAUAGCCGACCUGAGAGGGGGAUCGGCCACACUGGAACUGAGACACGGUCCAGACUCCUACGGGAGGCAGCAGUAGGGAAUCUUCGGCAAUGGGCGAAAGCCUGACGGAGCAACGCCGCGGGAGGGAUGAAGGUCUUCGGAUCGUAAAACUCUGUUAUUAGGGAAAAACAUAUGGGUAAGUAAAUGUGCACAUCUUGACGGUACCUAAUCAGAAAGCCACGGCUAACUACGUG
rnacentral:rRNA from 1 species